UGGGGAAUUUUCCGCAAUGGGCGAAAGCCUGACGGAGCAAUACCGCGUGAGGGAGGAAGGCUCUUGGGUUGUAAACCUCUUUUCUCAGGGAAGAAUCCUGACGGUACCUGAGGAAUCAGCAUCGGCUAACUCCGUGCCAGCAGCCGCGGUAAUACGGAGGGUGCAAGCGUUGUCCGGAAUCACUGGGUGUAAAGGGUGUGUAGGUGGGACUGUAAGUCAGAGGUGAAAGCCCACGGCUCAACCGUGGAAUUGCCUUUGAUACUGCAGUUCUUGAGUCCCGGAGAGGUCAUCGGAAUUCGUGGUGUAGCGGUGAAAUGCGUAGAUAUCACGAGGAACACCAGAGGCGUAAGCGGAUGACUGGACGGGUACUGACACUGAGGCACGAAAGCGUGGGGAGCAAACAGGAUUAGAUACCCGUGUAGUCC
rnacentral:rRNA from 1 species